CCCGAGCAGAGUCUAUUUCCCAGUGGAUCUGUCUUUACACUGAGGCAGUCCAUGAGAAUAAAUUCAAACCACACAAAUGUCAAUGGAAAUGUUAUUCUCCUGCAUAGUAUAGUCUUGGGCCCAGAAAUUACCACCUUUUUCCCUUUGCAACUGAUUGGGAUAGACUCAAGCAUCACAGACACAUUUGGAGUCCAGUGUCAUAUACGCAAUGUCAUGGAAGAGAAGAUCCUGGCGUCCCUGAAUCACUGUUUGAGGAAGAGCCAACUGGAAGAGUCAUCUAAGCAGAAAUUCCCCAUCACACUCUCCUAGUUUGGUGUAGAUCAGUUACAGCAGCUGGCAUUAACUUAAUAAACACAUGUCUUUCUUUUUAUAAAGAUUUUUUUUUAUUUAUUCAUGAGAGACACAGAGAGAGAAGCAGACACUUUGGCAGAGAAAGAAGCAGGCUCCCUUUGGGGAGCCCGAUGCGGGACUCAAUCCCAGGACCCCAGGAUCACAACCUGAGCCAAAGGCAGAUACUUAACCACUGAGCCACCCAGCUGUCCCCCUCCCCUUUUUAAAAAUAUUUUAUAUUUUAAUUUAUUCAUGAGAAACACACAGAGUCAGAGACAUAGACAGAUGGAGAACUGACACGUCUUUAACAAAAUCACUAUCCUCAAGUACUUUUCCAUAAAAAAUUGGACUUUAUAUUCUGGAAAUGACAAAAACGCCCUCAAACUUAGGCCUUAAAAAAUUACAUCAUAAAACCUUUUAAGAAAGCAGAUCAUGUUCUCUCUAAACAUGUUUUUGUAAAAUCAUUCUGAACAAUACAUUCUUUUUUUUUUUUUUUUUAAGAUCUUAUUUAUUCAUAAGAGACACACAGAGAGAGGCAGAGACACAGGCAGAGAGAGAAGCAGGCUCCAUGCAGGGAGCCCCAUGCGGGACCCAAUCUCUGGACCCCAGGAUCAGCCCUGAGCCGAAGGCAGACGCUCAACCACUGAGCCACCUAGGCGUCCCUGAACAAUACAUUCUUUUAAAAGUCUGUGAUUUUGGUUCAGAUAUUUCUUAUCUAAUGCUCAGGCACAGCGGCUGCGUUUGUUGCCCUCCUGAUAGAGAUGGAUGCUCUGGAAACCCUUCCCGACAACCAGUCCCGGACACAGGCAGGCCCGACCCUUCUUUCCUGGGCUCCAGGGGCUCCCGGCCGCGAUCAAGGCUGGAGAGGAGGUGCUGGAGGGCGGCCUUGCUCCCCCCAGCCUGGCUGCGCUCUGCGCCCAAGAGGCUGAGGAUGUGCUGCAGCAGCUGCAGCUGAAAUAAUCAUGAGUAGGACAACUGCGGCAGCACAGCUUCAAGAGUGUCAUUCUCCUCAGUGUGAAGAUCUACAAUCCAAACAGAGAGGUGAUUUGUCCCUUUACUGUCUAACAUACAACGUCUAAGACAGAAAUAAGGUAACAUUACCGGCACCCCCAUUCAAACUGGGGGAAAGCGGAAAGCACACAGCUCUCGCUGGUCUAUUGUAAACCUGAUGCCCAUUUGGGCAGGUGGUGUGGGUUUUCAGAUAGGAGCUCAGGCUAACUCUCCGAGAGUUACUCUCCAGGGCUGAUUUUUCUCCUCUCUGCACUUCUUAGUUCUCCCUUUAAGUUAUCCUUCCUUUUCCACAAGAAGUGGCUCCUGGCAUAGGCUACUUAAAAAAAAAUAUAUUUUAUUCAUUUAUUUGAGAGAGAGAGAGAGAAAGAAAGAGAGAGAAAUAGGGGGAGGGGCAGAGGGAGAGGGAAAAACUGACUUCCUGCUGAGCAGGGAGCCCAAUGUGGGACUCAAUCCCAGGACCCUGAGAUCAUGACCUGAUCCAAAGG
rnacentral:lncRNA from 12 species